AUGCAAGUCUACUUGAACUUCGGUUUGGGUGGCGGACGGGUGGGUAACGCGUAAAGAACUUGCCUCACAGUUUGGGACAACAUUUGGAAACGAAUGCUAAUACCGAAUAUUAUGAUCGAAUGGCAUCAUUUGAUUAUGAAAGCUAUAUGCGCUGUGAGAGAGCUUUGCGUCCCAUUAGCUAGUUGGAGAGGUAACGGCUCACCAAGGCGAUGAUGGGUAGCCGGCCUGAGAGGGUGAACGGCCACAAGGGGACUGAGACACGGCCCUUACUCCUACGGGAGGCAGCAGUGGGGAAUAUUGGACAAUGGACCAAAAGUCUGAUCCAGCAAUUCUGUGUGCACGAUGAGGUUUUUCGGAAUGUAAAGUGCUUUCAGUUGGGAAGAAGAAAGUGACGGUACCAACAGAAGAAGUGACGGCUAAAUACGUGCCAGCAGCCGCGGUAAUACGUAUGUCACAAGCGUUAUCCGGAUUUAUUGGGCGUAAAGCGCGUCUAGGCGGUUAAUUAAGUCUGAUGUGAAAAUGCGGAGCUCAACUCCGUAUUGCGUUGGAAACUGGUUAACUAGAGUACUGGAGAGGUAAGCGGAACUACAAGUGUAGAGGUGAAAUUCGUAGAUAUUUGUAGGAAUGCCGAUGGGGAAGCCAGCUUACUGGACAGAUACUGACGCUAAAGCGCGAAAGCGUGGGUAGCAAACAGGAUUAGAUACCCUGGUAGUCCACGCUGUAAACGAUGAUUACUAGGUGUUGGGGGUCGAACCUCAGCGCCCAAGCUAACGCGAUAAGUAAUCCGCCUGGGGAGUACGUACGCAAGUAUGAAACUCAAAGGAAUUGACGGGGACCCGCACAAGCGGUGGAGCAUGUGGUUUAAUUCGACGCAACGCGAGGAACCUUACCAGCGUUUGACAUCUUA
rnacentral:rRNA from 1 species